rnacentral:rRNA from 1 species
AACGAACGCUGGCGGCAUGCCUAACACAUGCAAGUCGAGCGAGACCUUCGGGUAUAGUGGCGCACGGGUGCGUAACGCGUGGGAACCUGCCCUUAGGUUCGGAAUAACUCCCCGAAAGGGGUGCUAAUACCGGAUAAUGUCUUCGGACCAAAGAUUUAUCGCCUUUGGAUGGGCCCGCGUUGGAUUAGCUAGUUGGUAGGGUAAAAGCCUACCAAGGCGACGAUCCAUAGCUGGUCUGAGAGGAUGAUCAGCCACACUGGGACUGAGACACGGCCCAGACUCCUACGGGAGGCAGCAGUGGGGAAUAUUGGACAAUGGGCGAAAGCCUGAUCCAGCAAUGCCGCGUGAGUGAUGAAGGCCUUAGGGUUGUAAAGCUCUUUUACCCGGGAUGAUAAUGACAGUACCGGGAGAAUAAGCUCCGGCUAACUCCGUG